GGCCCACUCCCAGCGCCCCUGCCCGGGCUCUAGCAGCUCUGAUGUGACCGCAGUCUCCUGGCCGGUGUCCUGCCUCCAGCCCUUCACCUUCCAGCUCCUUUUCUUCCUCAGAAUUUCUGUGGAUUCAUUGCCUCCUGUAGGAUUUCCACCCCCCUCCCCCUGCCUGUCCAGGCCCUCUCACACCCUCCUGGGGCUCCAGCCCUCUUGGCUUUGCCCAAAGCAGCCCUGGACCUCUCCACUCCCAUCUCUUCCCACGGCCAGGAAUGCCCGAGCUCCACUUGGAGAGAAUCCACCAUUUCAGGUCCCUCCCUCCGUCCUGUGACCUGCCCCAUGACUGACUGGCCAGGGAGCACCUCUGUUGCCUGUGGGCUCCCAGCACACUGGGCCACCAUAGACGCAGAGCUGCCUUGUUCCUCUUUCUCUUCCUCCAGCUCCAGCUCCCAGAGGGAAGCGAACUCACCACCCCGCCCCAGCCUUCACCCCCAGCCAAUCAUGACGCUGCCCCUGAGAAGCUGGGAAGAGAGCCGCUGGCACAUCCCGAGACCUGCCUCCAAGUGAACAUCCAGCCAUUCAUCUGGGGGAAUAAGGAAUCUGUUAUGAAUCCUCGUAGCUGAACUGUCAUCCAGCUUACCUGGCCCCAUUUGUUGGCAAGGACACCCCAGGAACGUCUUUCUUAUGUGGACAGGAAUUGUGUCUGGCUACUCAGAGCACACGCUCAAAAUGACAAUGAUGUGAUUUAUUUUCUCUCACAUUAAAGAUUUUCAGGAGUAAAGAGUUCUGGACCAGUAUGGCACUUCCAUUGGCAUUGAGGCCUCAGGCUUCCUUCUGCUCCCCUAUCCUUCGUGUGUGACUCCUAUCCUUGAGGUGGCCUCAAGGUCACAAAAUGGUUGCUGAAGCUACACCCAUCACAUGUUUCCCAGGUACAAAGAAAAUGUAAGUGGUCAGAGCCACAGGAAUGGAUCUCUCUGCCUUAAAGAGCUUUCUUAGAAGCCCCAUCCAAUACUUCUAAUAUUUCAUUGGCCAUUCCAUCUGCUAGGCAGGGUGGGAACUGUAGUUGUUUUAUCGGGGCAUAUAACCACCCACAGUACUAUCGGGCCCUGUGAUUAAGUUAGAAAGAACAACAGAGGCUGUAAUACAUGCUGUGUGGGCAACCAGAAGUCCCUGCCAUCCUCACGAACAUUCUACUGACCAUGUUUCCUAAAUCUAGCCACCAUUUCCUCAGCUGGUAAGGGGUGGAGCUGGGACUCUAAAACCCAGGUCUGUCUGAUUCCCCAGCUCGGCCUCCUAACCAUGAAGCUACACUGCUUCCCUGUGUAAAAGGGAGGCCCAGUGGGAGGAGGCACUUUGGUUUUCCCCUCGUGAGUGGGGCUGACAGACACUGUGUCCCUGGCCCUUAGAGCCUGGCUGCAAGGCCUAGUGAAGAGCCAGGGGCCACAGCAAACCAAGCCCAGGGUCCCACCUUCCAGAACUCAUGCUCUGACAUUGCAUAGUCUAAGGCGUGGGUUCUGGGAAUAGCUCAAAGGUAGACAGAAGGAGGCCAGGGGAUCCUAGAGAGGAAAAAGCGUGCAGGGCUCUGUGCUGGGUGGAGUCCCAUUAUUCACCAAAUCCUUCUACAGGCAAUCCCUCCAGGCUGGCUCUGAUGAAUGGGGGUGGAAUGGGAGAGAGGAGGAAUAAUUCUGGAAAUUCAUAACCAUUCUGGAGAACACAUGGCCACUUCACCACUCCAUAUCCAGCUACCUGUGCACAAGGCAACGCUGUUUGGCAAAAACUGAAAACACGCCAAAGGUGUAGCAAUAAGACACUGAAGACGGUGUGAGCACACUGUGGAAUAUUAUAUGGCCAUUAAAAAGAACGAGUCAGUAAGAUCAACAGUACAUCAACCUGAAAUUUCAGAACCCAGAUCAAGAAAUAUAUAUGAAACUUGAUGAAUUUUGUUUACAACUGUCAAUUCCAUGUACAUAUAUUUCUUGAUAGCACAGUCUGGCAGAGUUUCAUACUAUUGUGCAGCUUUGGAUGAAUAAAUGGUGAUAUACGAGUACAUACACUACGUUUGCCAUUAUUUCAACCUCAGAAGUGUAGGACUGACUGUUUUCUAAGUCCACAGUACCCAAAGGAAAAAGUAGCUCUUUUUUUUUUUUUUUUUUUUUUACCUUGGAUUUAAACCCUUUUAAGUCCUGAAAUUAAGUUGUAUAACUAACUGCUUCUUUCCAAAGAGAGCCUGUUUGAAAUCCAGCAUGCUUAACCAAUUCCAUCUUCUUUUUGUGUUAUGGACAAAUUAAAACAUUUCCUCUCCUCAUUCAUUGCAGCUAGAAUAAACUAAACAACAGUUAGUUGCCUUGGUCAGCGUUAUUCCAUGU
rnacentral:lncRNA from 1 species